ensembl:snRNA U4 U4 spliceosomal RNA
AACGUUGUGCAGUGGCAGUAUCAUACCCAAUGAGGUUUAUCCGAGGCACAAUUAUUGCUAACUGAAAACUUUUCCCAUAAAGGAAAUUUUAGUUGGAAUUGUGUGAUG